rnacentral:rRNA from 1 species
CGGUGAGAGUGGCGCACGGGUGCGUAACGCGUGAGCAACCUACCUCUAUCAGGGGGAUAGCCUCUCGAAAGAGAGAUUAACACCGCAUAACAUCUGCGGCCGGCAUGGUCGGGUGAUUAAAUAUUUAUAGGAUAGAGAUGGGCUCGCGUGACAUUAGCUAGUUGGUAGGGUAACGGCUUACCAAGGCGACGAUGUCUAGGGGCUCUGAGAGGAGAAUCCCCCACACUGGUACUGAGACACGGACCAGACUCCUACGGGAGGCAGCAGUAAGGAAUAUUGGUCAAUGGGCGGAAGCCUGAACCAGCCAUGCCGCGUGCAGGAUGACUGCCCUAUGGGUUGUAAACUGCUUUUGUCCAGGAAUAAACCUAGAUACGUGUAUCUAGCUGAAUGUACUGGAAGAAUAAGGAUCGGCUAACUCCGUGCCAGCAGCCGCGGUAAUACGGAGGAUCCGAGCGUUAUCCGGAUUUAUUGGGUUUAAAGGGUGCGUAGGCGGCCUAUUAAGUCAGGGGUGAAAUACGGUGGCUCAACCAUCGCAGUGCCUUUGAUACUGAUGGGCUUGAAUCCAUUUGAAGUGGGCGGAAUAAGACAAGUAGCGGUGAAAUGCAUAGAUAUGUCUUAGAACUCCGAUUGCGAAGGCAGCUCACUAAGCUGGUAUUGACGCUGAUGCACGAAAGCGUGGGGAUCGAACAGGAUUAGAUACCCUGGUAGUCCACGCCCUAAACGAUGAUAACUCGAUGUUGGCGAUAGACAGCCAGCGUCCAAGCGAAAGCGUUAAGUUAUCCACCUGGGGAGUACGCCCGCAAGGGUGAAACUCAAAGGAAUUGACGGGGGCCCGCACAAGCGGAGGAGCAUGUGGUUUAAUUCGAUGAUACGCGAGGAACCUUACCCGGGCUUGAAAGUUAGUGAAGAGUGCAGAGACGCACUCGUCCUUCGGGACACGAAACUAGGUGCUGCAUGGCUGUCGUCAGCUCGUGCCGUGAGGUGUUGGGUUAAGUCCCGCAACGAGCGCAACCCCUAUGUUUAGUUGCCAGCAUGUAAUGGUGGGGACUCUAAACAGACUGCCUGUGCAAACAGAGAGGAAGGUGGGGACGACGUCAAGUCAUCAUGGCCCUUACGUCCGGGGCUACACACGUGCUACAAUGGAUGGUACAGCGGGCAGCUACAUAGCAAUAUGAUGCUAAUCUCUAAAAGCCAUUCACAGUUCGGAUUGGGGUCUGCAACUCGACCCCAUGAAGUUGGAUUCGCUAGUAAUCGCGUAUCAGCAAUGACGCGGUGAAUACGUUCCCGGGCCUUGUACACACCGCCCGUCAAGCCA